GCACCAGUGCCAGGAUGCAAGCCUCGCCCUCCCAGGAAACUGGCCAGUGAUAUUCCGUCUCCCUUCCUGCUGUCAGCUUCUUGACAGAAGAAGAUACAGACGCAGAGGAGAAGGUCACAUGAAGACAAAGGCAGAGACUGGAAUGAUAACUCUACAAGCCAUAGAAUGCCACGAACUACCAGAGGCUGGAAGAUGCAAAGAUCCUCCCCCAGAACCUCCAGAGGAAGCGUAGCCCUGCCGACACCCUGAUGACGGACUUCUGGCCUCCAGAACUCUGUUCUAGUGGGGCUGACGUGGCUCUCCCUGUGGGUACCACUCAUCUUUAAG